ensembl:lncRNA
CCUGGCGGUGUGGUCCAGCACUUCCGUGAUCCUGACUGAGGACAAGUCCAAGGCAGGGGCUGCUGGGAGAGAGAGAGGCAUUUCAGAAGAAAAUAUUAAGUGCGCAGUAACAGCUGUAAACAAGCUCCGAGCUCAUCUCCUUGCUUACUAAACAACAGAACUAUUUGCUGAGCAUUUCUAAAAGAUAAGAGGAAGUUUGGAACCAGUAAAAAAGGGAAAGUGAGAUCACAGAGUUCUUUGAUGUGUGAUUUUGAUCUUCAGAAAGUUUGUUAUUAUGACCCGUUGCUGAUCAAUCUCCCAC